rnacentral:misc_RNA from 1 species
GAAAUGCGAUAAGUAGUGUGAAUUGCAGAAUUCAGUGAAUCAUCGAAUCUUUGAACGCACAUUGCGCCCUUUGGUAUUCCAAAGGGCAUGCCUGUUCGAGCGUCAUUUGUACCCUCAAGCUUUGAUUGGUGUUGGGCGUCUUGUCUCUAGCUUUGCUGGAGACUCGCCUUAAAGUAAUUGGCAGCCGGCCUACUGGUUUCGGAGCGCAGCACAAGUCGCACUCUCUAUCAGCAAAGGUCUAGCAUCCAUUAAGCCUUUUUUCAACUUUUGACCUCGGAUCAGGUAGGGAUACCCGCUGAACUUAAGC